rnacentral:lncRNA from 1 species
GCAGUGUGCAGAUAUAAGUCAAUGAGUCUCAGCAAGCUGGUCGCAGACCCAUGAGAUCCAGGCAGAUUUCUGGCUGCAAGUCCCAGGUUACCGUGAAAUAUACAUGGAAGACUAUAUGUGAGAGGAUAUUGUGACUGUACAUAAGAUCCUCAGAAUAGGACAUGUGGCCGAAUGUCACAGUGUAGUUCCUCUCAUCUGAUUCAAAGGAGAGCUGGGGAGGAUACAAAGUUACCAAGCAGCUGUAUAGCAUGGAGACGAAGAUAGGAGCUCUGCAAUCAGCCACACUCGGUUUCAAGUUCAAGUCCUGUCAUUUACUAGCUGUGUGACUUUAAGUGCCAGAAAUAUUUUAACAGCUUUACUGAGGUAUAAUUGAUAUACAAAGAGCUGCACAUAUUCAAUUUGUACAGUUUGAUGAGUUUGAACAAAUGCAAACAUCUGUGAUACCAUCACCACGGUCAAGGUAAUAAAUAUAUCCAAC